ensembl:lncRNA LINC03103 long intergenic non-protein coding RNA 3103
AGUCCAAAUGCUAUACCGGUUAAACUCCGCCAUUUUGCCUCUUAGUGCUCAUGCUUGAGCCCGCUUGCCCAACUCCUGAGAUGUCAUCGGGAAGCUGCUGAUCAGCAAUUACAGGUGUUUCUGUGUAUUGGGAGACUGCCUUUCCCUGUCAUUGAUCAAUUAUUUUUUUAGAGAGAUACUUAACAACUACCUCACCAUCACUUGAUGGUUGCCUGACAUUCCUGAUUGGUGAGGGAGAGAGGGAGGGAGUCAGGGGGGCUCUCCUGCCCUGUUCCUGUCUGACUAGCUACCUGCUGUAACAAUUAUACUAGUACUAGUGAUAAACCUAUCACUUGUGCCUAUGACAGGGCCUUACACAAGGUAGAUAACCAAUGAUUAUGGUUGAAUUAAUAAACAAGGCCUCUCUUAUGCCCCUAAAAAUGCAGAGAUGCUCUUCUCACCUCUCAUUCGGAAUCUACUCUCAAUUAUAUAUAAGACGCAAGCAGUCACCGUCUAUGAACUAGAAAGCUGAUUCACCAGACACCGAAUCUGCCAGCACCUUGGUCUUGGACUUCCCAGCCUCCAGAACUAGGAAAUGUUCCAACACAUCUGAGGAAACACAUGCCUUCCCAGACUGGCCUGUUGCUGUUUCCCAGGAGCUGCAUUCUGGAAGGUGGACCAUCAGGUGGAAGAAGUAUUCUUCAGAGAGCUGCCUUCCCAAGGGAAUGGUGACAGCUUGCGCUUGCCGGGGAGUCCUGCUGCCUUCCGAGGUGUGAAGGGAAGGCAUGCACUGUGCAUAUGCUGUACCAUACAGUUUUGCCUACAACUGCUUGUAGCUUCAUUGUAGCUGUGAAUGCUCCGUUCCUCUCCUUUUCACCCCUGAAGAUUCGCGAACAUGCAGGAUUGAGCUGUGCGAGGCAUAGCAUUCCCCACAUGGUAGACGAAGGCGGAUGUGGGUCUGAUGGCUCUACUGCCGUCCACCCGGGAGGAUGGACGUGUGUUCCGGGAUAUCAGAGCUUGCGGCUGACCAGCCCACAUGUCCAUGCAGCCCUCCCGCUGGCUGUGUCGACAUUUUGGGUGUCACUGAAGGAUUUUACUGGUGCAGACUUUACAAAGGCAAAAUUGUUUCUCAAGGAAGUGGACAUGAAAGAUCUAAAAUCAGGGCUGCUUAAAAAAAGCAAGCACAGAUUAAUGACCUAUCUACAUCCUACACGGUUUUAGGACUGCGCCUAGAUGGGCUUAAAGACCCUAGCCUAAAAACUGUAAAUGUGCUUCCGUCUUUGCCCUGUAGGACAAGAAAGCCUUACGGGCUUGCUUCUAACUGUGAGAGGAGGAGAGGCCAGGAAGGGAGAGGGAGAAAAGGAGGAGAACAGGAGACGAGAAGGAGGGGAGAGUGAGGAGAGGAGGAGAGAGGCUUGUCAAAAUCUUUUUAGUGCACAAAACUAAUUUUGUUCAUCUUGGAUUUGGUGAGCUGGGUAAUAUUCUGUGCACGGCUCCUAAAUGAAUUAUUAAAUGUCAACUCAAGAUGGCUUAACUAAAAUACUCAAUUUAAUAACCAAAAGUAUCUAAGGUAACAACAACAAUUUUGCAGGUGAUUGUAGAGUUGUCAAGUCAAACCAUUAUAGACAAGCAUUUGGGGUUUUCACAUAAUCUCCUUCCACAUCUCAUCUUCUGUCACUAAAUACCCACUCUGGUGAGCAUAUUCCAUUUCAAUAAAGAUCAUCGCUUCG